rnacentral:rRNA from 1 species
AUUGAACGCUAGCGGGAUGCCUUACACAUGCAAGUCGAACGGAGUGCCUAACGGUUAUUUAAUGUAUCGGAAUGUGCCAAGUCGCGGGGGACACCUACCUUAAAGGUUAGCUAAUCCCGCUUACAUUUGGUGCGGCCGAUAUAGGCUUACGUAGUUGGUGGGGUAGCGGCCAACCAAGGCGACGAUCCGUAGCUGGUUUGAGAGGACGACCAGCCACACUGGGACUGAGAAAGGGAACAGACUCCUACGGGAGGCAGCAGUGGGGAAUGUUGGACAAUGGGAGAAACCCUGAUGCAGCCAACCCGCGUGGGCGAUGAAGGCCUGCGGGUUGUAAAGCAAUUUUGGCAGGAAAGCGGUACCUGCAGAAUAAGCACCGGCUAACUACGUGCCAGCAGCCGCGGUAAUUC